rnacentral:lncRNA from 10 species
GCGGCUGCGGCGGGGUCCUCCCUGCACCGGGGGAGCGCUACGAGUCCCAGCGGAGCGCCGCAGCACAGCGCCAUGGACAAACUGGUACUGUGCGCGCUCGGGCCACGCGGCUCCCACGCCCAGCCAGGGCCGCCGCGGCGCAUGCGCGGCCGAGCGGCCCGGGGUUCCCUGGCUCGCGGGGUUGGCGGCAGAGACCAGGGAGGGGCUCGGCUUGUGGUCCGGGGUUUUCAGAGUUUGGGGGCCAAAAGCACUUUCUUGACCUUUUAGGGCUGGGAUUGCUGUUUCUGGAAUUUCGCACGUUUUUUUCCUCAGGGGGUAGUUGUCAAUCACGCCUACCAGGGCACCCCGAAAUGCAAAACGCACUAAGUUCAGGGACUUCCUCCUCUUCCUCUUGCUGCUGAAAAGGCCAUUGGUUGUCUGCGACGUGGACCCAAUCCACCCAUUGUCCCAUAGCGAGCAUCAGAGAUAUCCAGGUGUGGCGAAGGUCGCUUUUGUGUCUGUCGUUCGUUGGCUGUUACCAGCUCUCAUUAGCCCUUGGGUUUGGACAGAAGCGAAUGUUUAGUUCCCCUGGAGAGAGGGAGGGGUAUGGUGUGCAGAGAAAGCCCCGCUGGGUGGGUUCUUUCUGUCUCUUACAUUUGCCUCGGUGCGCAUCGGAGCAGGUGCAGCUGGAAACACACGCUAUACAUUUACAUCAACUUUCAUUUCAUUAGUCUGGCUCUUUUUUUUUUUUUAAGUGAAUAUUGUGGAUUGAAGAAUAAUCCAAGUUCAGUACUUGUUUUUGCAUUUAUUUUCAAGGACGAUUGCAUUCAUAUAUAUUUUCAUCAGGUACACUAUAGUCAUAUAACUGUAGGGAUCUAUUAUGCUAAUCGAUAAAAUAUGCACUUUGUCAUGAUUUUAAAGAUAUAAAUUUAUACUUGUUGAAUUAAGAGCAAUGUAUCUAGAUUAUGCAAAUAAUACUUCAGCGUUUUCCUCCUCUCUGUAGAUAUUUACGUUGCUCAAAAUUGGCUUUUAUUUUUGUGUGUAUCCUUUUAUGGUAGACACAUAUUAAUAUUCUCAUUUUCAUAUAAUUUAUGUCAUAAAUACUUGGAAUUUUCACUAUAUUUUGUGUUUAUUGAAGACAUACUCGUUAGCUCUUUUUAGUAUUUCAAGUGACUGUUCUCAUUUUCUGUCAAAGAAAAUGGGACCCUGAAAUGACAGGUGACAUUGUUACUUCUAAUACCAAUAAACCAAUGACUUUUUUCUAUGUCUUAAUUUUAAAUCCAUAUAUAAUACAAUCUUACAUAAAUUUACCAAGUUUUCCCCUUUAAGGAUAUAAAGCAUGGCUAUUAGCUUUCAUCUGGGUUGUUAUAUUUUAUUAAUUAUGCUUGCUUUCAGGUUUCAGCGCUAUGCUCUUUGCCUCUAAUUUUCUCUUGGUCUGUUCGAGUUGAACUUAAAGAAUUUGAAAAUUAUCAAAUAUCUCUUAUUUAACUUCCAUAGUAAACUAGGAAAUUACAUUGACAUACCUCUUUUCAUCUAUGAAAUUUGCAAAGACCUCUCCCCUCCCUCCAAGUGUUACUAGAAAACAUUUAAUAACAUGGGAAAAUGUUUACAAUUAAUGAGUGAAAAAAGUAAAUCAUUGAAGCAAUAGGUUCCAAUUUUAUGAAAAUAAAAACGGUAUAUAAAUAUCUAUAGAAAGCAGAAUAAAAGGACAUACACCAAAAUAUUGAUACUGAUUAUCUCUGGCUAGUGGAAUUAAAGAGGAUUUUAAUUUUCUUUAUUUUUAACAUUUCUAUAAUGAAUAUACAGAUUUUAUACAUACAUAAUUUAUAGUUAGAAAAAAUUAUGAAGAAUAGUGACCUCAAAAAUGUUUGCACAACAUUCUUCUCCUAAGACACACUGAGCAUCCUUUGGUAAAUAUUUUCGGUUUUCUGUUCACUCAGGCACAUCUUUGUAAACACUGUUUUACAACUCUUGCUCUCCCCAGCUGAGUAAGCAAUCCCCAUUUUACUUAAGCUGGAAGUAUGGUGGAAGGUGGUAAAUGAGCAUAUGCAGAUCAAAGUGAAGACCAGCAAUCGUGAAACAAACCUAUGGCCCAGUCCUCCUCUGUUUCCUGUACUGCAUGAUUUUCUUAACCCUCAUAUUGGCAGGUUAGUGCCACUAGUCCAAGAUUGAUUUGGAAAGGAUUUUGGUAGCCCUAAUAAUUGAUUAUGCAUUCUGCAAAUAUGGAUUUUUGUGGUUAUAUUAUUUAGAAAAGAUAGAAGCAAAUAGACACUCAAGCAAAUAGAAGGUGUAGAAAUUGUUGCAUCCCUGAAAUGUCACUUUCACAGAAUGUUCAAUUCUCGCAGGAAGGCAGGGUCCCUUGUGUUUGUUUUCCCCAGGUGCCUGGUGAUGGUGUGACCAAGGCUUGCCUCAGUAUUGGGAAAAGGAUACAGUGAGCAUGGCUAUUUGGAGGAAUUGGUUCCUGCUGCAUAAGAAAUGCUAGGAGGAAGUUUACCUGUUACAUUUUCUCCUUUAGUCACGCUAAGCUCUUUCCUGGCACUCACCAGAGCGGCUGUUUAUUUAUACCUCUGUUCUGUUUGCAUUUGGCUUUGCUUCUUAUGGCCUUUCUUUUAACAAACAGACAAAAAAAGAGUUGAGCAACUGCUCACUCAUUACUUUGUUUAUGAAUAAAAACCGACGGCUUCAACUCAAGAGUGAGUUACCUACCAGGGAUAUUUGUAUUUCCCAGAAUGUUGAGUUACAGUCCUGCCAGGAAACCAGCUUCGAGACAGGACAUGGAUCAGUUUGUCCUGUCCUUGCAGGGGCAGGCCCGGCCCAUGGCCAGGCCCGAUGCAUGGGGUGAAGGGCAUAGAACUGGUGGAAUGAACGCUUUCUUUUUCUGUUUACCUCUCUCUAGAGAAAAUGCUUAGGAAGUGAGGCUGGAGUUGAGAAAAUGGUAUUACAGAUACCUGGGCAGUUCAGUUCAAUUCCAUAAAUACUUAUUAAGUACCUACUAUGUUUAAAGUACUGUGGAAAGGUUCUGGGGAAUAUGACCUUUCCUUUCUUCUUUUCUUCCUCCAUUUUUCCUUCCCUCUCCACCUUUGCCCUCCCUCUUUUGUUUUUGUUUUUCUUUUUUUUUUGAGACAGAGUCUCGCUCUGUUGCCCAGGCUGGAGUGCAGUAGUGCAAUCUGCAACCUCCAUCUCCAAGGGUUCAAGCAAUUCUCGAUUCUUCUGUGAUUCUCAUACCACAGCUUCCUGAGUAGCUGGGAUCACAGGCACCUGCUACCAAGCCCUGCUACUUUUUUGUAUUUUUAGUAGAGAUGGGGUUUCACCAUGUUGCCCAGGCUGGUCUCAAACUCCUGGGCUCAAGUAACCCACCCGCCUCGGCCUCCCAAAGUGCUGGAAUUACCAGGCAUGAGCCACCGCACCUGGCCACCCUCCCUCUUUCUUUCUUCAUUCCUGUCUUCUUCCCUCUCUCCCUCAUUUCUUCCUCUUUCCCUCUCCCUCAUCCUCUUUUUCCUUCUUUCCUUCCUUCUAAAAUACAUACUGCAUGCUUUCUUUUCUUUUCUUUUUUCUUUCUUUCUUUCUUUUUUUUUUUUUCUAAGACGGAUUCUCGCUCUAUCGCCCAGGCUGGAAUGCAAUGGC